UGAGGAAUAUUGGACAAUGGAGGCAACUCUGAUCCAGCCAUGCCGCGUGCAGGAAGACUGCCCUAUGGGUUGUAAACUGCUUUUAUACAGGAAGAAACACCUCUACGUGUAGAGGCUUGACGGUACUGUAAGAAUAAGGAUCGGCUAACUCCGUGCCAGCAGCCGCGGUAAUACGGAGGAUCCAAGCGUUAUCCGGAAUCAUUGGGUUUAAAGGGUCCGUAGGUGGAUAAUUAAGUCAGAGGUGAAAUCUUGCAGCUCAACUGUAAAAUUGCCUUUGAAACUGGUUAUCUUGAGUUAUUAUGAAGUAGUUAGAAUAUGUAGUGUAGCGGUGAAAUGCAUAGAUAUUACAUAGAAUACCAAUUGCGAAGGCAGAUUACUAAUAAUCAACUGACACUGAUGGACGAAAGCGUGGGUAGCGAACAGGAUUAGAUACCCUGGUAGUCCACGCCGUAAACGAUGGUUACUAGCUGUUUGGACUUCGGUCUGAGUGGCUAAGCGAAAGUGAUAAGUAACCCACCUGGGGAGUACGUUCGCAAGAAUG
rnacentral:rRNA from 1 species